rnacentral:rRNA from 1 species
GACGAACGCUGGCGGCGUGCUUAACACAUGCAAGUCGAACGGAAAGGCCCUGCUUUUGUGGGGUGCUCGAGUGGCGAACGGGUGAGUAACACGUGAGUAACCUGCCCUUGACUUUGGGAUAACUUCAGGAAACUGGGGCUAAUACCGGAUAGGAGCUCCUGCUGCAUGGUGGGGGUUGGAAAGUUUCGGCGGUUGGGGAUGGAUUCGCGGCUUAUCAGCUUGUUGGUGGGGUAGUGGCUUACCAAGGCUUUGACGGGUAGGCGGCCUGAGAGGGGGGCCGGCCACAUUGGGACUGAGGGACGGCCCAGACUCCUACGGGAGGCAGUAGUCGGGAAUAUUGCAGAAUGGGCGGAAGCCUGAUGCAGCAACGCCGCGUGCGGGAUGACGGCCUUCGGGUUGUAAACCGAUUUCGCCUGUGACGAGGCGGGAGUGACGGUAAUGGGUAAAGAAGCAACGGCUAACUACGUG